CAGCGUAGUCGUGCCGUCCCCACAAGCGAGAGAGCGGGAGGCAGAGAGGCAAAGCGACAGACGAGGGCGGCCGUCUCCUCCGUGGCCGUCGCGGCGUGGGCACUGCCGCUUCGCUAUUGGCGGAAAUUUCCUGCAUCUUUUCCUACGGUUACUUUCUUUUUCUGUCGUUGUUGGGAGCUCGUGGAGGACCGCCUUGUCAGCGGCCAUGGUGAGGCGUCUUCGCACGCGCCUCGCUGCACCGAGCGGCGGCGAGGGCGGCUUUGGCUGCGCCUUCUGUGGCGCUCACCUCUGCAUCGCCGAGGACAUCGUCUCCGACAACUUUCGCGGCCGCCACGGCAAGGCCUUCCUUGUCUCCCGCUGCGAGAACACCUACUACGGCCAUCAGGAGGAGAAGCAGCUGAUGACGGGGCUGCACCGCGUGCGCGACGUAUUUUGCUCCAACUGUGACCAGUACGUCGGCUGGGGAUACGACUUCGCGGUCGAUGAGCGCGAGAUGUACAAGAUGCAGCGCUUCGUGCUGGAGCGCCAGCUCAUUCGGGUCAUCACUCACGGGCAGCUGCGCGGGGCCCUGGGCUACAGCAUCCCUGAUGGCAGCAUCACCUUUGCUUUGCCUGUCGCGCGCUCGUAUACAUUGGAAUAGCCGCAGGUGAGGAAGAGUGGUUUGGCCGCACUUGUGUCUCCGCACAGCGUUGCCACGGUACUCUCUAGACGAGUUUCAAUCAUCCCUGCGCAACGCCGCGGCGCAUCAACCGAGUGCUGCAGGCGGCGAGCUCCCUCAUUCAUCGUCUCUUCUUCCAUUAUUGUGGGGCGGCCGCUCUUCUCUCUCUCUCCCUCGCCGCUCUGACGUCCACUCGCAAAACAGAAAGCAAAAUAAGGAUGGCUCAACCCCUUCUGCUUCGACACGUUUGCUGUUGCCUUUUACUCUCUGUUGCACUGCACCAAUGCGGUGGCGUUGUCCUUCAGUUUACUUGCUGGCGCCCCCCCCCUCAGCAGGAAGCGGCAUCGAUGAUCGACAAGCGCGCCUUCGUGCGGCUGCCACUGAACG
rnacentral:misc_RNA from 1 species